rnacentral:rRNA from 1 species
AGCGCACACGGUGGAUGCCUUGGCACAGGAAGCCGACGAAGGACGUGACAAGCUGCGAUAAGCUGCGGUUAGGGGCACAUGCCCGCCAGACCCGCGGAUCUCCGAAUGGGCGAACCCGCCGGGACCAGAGGCCCGGCACCCCGCGCCGAACACAUAGGCGCGGAGGAGGCAACCUGGGGAACUGAAACAUCUCAGUACCCAGAGGAAGAGAAAUCAACCGAGAUUCCCCCAGUAGUGGCGAGCGAACGGGGAUCAGGCCAAACCGGCGGGCGCUUCGGCCCCGCCGGGGUUGUAGGGCCGGUCGUCGCGCAGUGACAAAUCCCCGCGGGAGCGGAACGGCCUGGGAAGGCCGGCGAGACAGGGUUAGAGCCCCGUACGCGAACCCGCAGGGACUGCCGACCGGUCCCUGAGUACCGCCGGACACGUGAAACCCGGUGGGAAGCUGGGGGGACCACCCUCCAAGCCUAAAUACUCUCCUGUGACCGAUAGCGGACGAGUACCGUGAGGGAAAGGUGAAAAGCACCCCGGGAGGGGAGUGAAACAGUACCUGAAACCGUGUGCGUACAAGCAGUCGGAGCGCCCCUCGGGGCGUGACGGCGUGCCUUUUGUAGAAUGAGCCAGCGAGUUACGGUGUGCGGCGAGGUUAAGCUUUGAAGCGAGCCGCAGCGAGAGCGAGUCCCAACCGGGCGCUUGAGUCGCGCGCCGUAGACGCGAAGCCGGGUGAGCUAUCCGUGGGCAGGCUGAAACGGGGGUAAGACCCCGCGGAGGGCCGAACCCACCUAGGUUGAAAACUGGGGGGAUGACCUGCGGAUAGGGGUGAAAGGCCAAUCAAACCCGGAGAUAUCUCGUUCUCCCCGAAAUAGCUUUAGGGCUAGCCCCGGGCGUUUGCCUGCGGAGGUAGAGCACUGAAUGGGUGCGGGGGCCUCACCGCCUACCAAGUCCAAUCAAACUCCGAAUGCCGCAGGCCCAGAGCCCGGGAGUCAGAACAUGUGGGCUAAGCCGUGUGUUCGAGAGGGAAACAGCCCAGACCGCCCGCUAAGGUCCCCAAGUCCGUGCUGAGUGGCAAAGGAUGUGCGUUUGCUCAGACAACCAGGAUGUUGGCUUAGAAGCAGCCACCCAUUCAAAGAGUGCGUAACAGCUCACUGGUCGAGUGGACAUGCGCCGACAAUAUACGGGGCUAAGCACGGUACCGAAGCGGCGGACCCGCGCGCGAGCGCGGGUGGUAGGGGAGCUUUCCGUCCGGGGCGAAGCGAGGGGGCGACCCCUCGUGGACCGGCCGGAAGUGAGAAUGCUGGCAUGAGUAGCGAGAGGGGCGUGAGAAACGCCCCCGCCGUAAACCCAAGGUUUCCUGGGCAAGGCUAAUCCUCCCAGGGUCAGUCGGGUGCUAAGGCGAGGCCGGAAGGCGUAGCCGACGCGCAGCAGGCAGACAUUCCUGCACCCCCGACGCGGCGCCAUCACCGACGGGGUGACGGAGAAGGGUAGCUCAGCGGGGUUCUGGACGUCCCCGUGAGGCCACGUAGGCCGGGCGGCUGUGAAACGCGCCGCCCGCGAGGGCUGAGGUGGCUGACGAAGCGACUGGGUGAAGUGAGUGAGCCCAUGCUCCCGAGAAAAACCCCUAGGGAUGCCGCGCGGGGCCCGUACCGCAAACCGACACAGGUGGGUGGGUAGAACAUACCAAGGCGAUCGGGAGAACUAUGGUUAAGGAACUCGGCAAAACUGCCCCGCAACUUCGGGAGAAGGGGUGCCGCCGCCGGUGGAGGGGCUUGCCCCCCGAGCUGGUGGCGGCCACAGUGAAGAGGUCCAAGCGACUGUUUAUCAAAAACACAGGACUCUGCUGAAGUCGUAAGACGACGCAUAGGGUCUGACGCCUGCCCGGUGCCGGAAGGUCACGAGGAGCCGUCAGCGAGAGCGAAGCGGCGAAUCCAAGCCCCGGUAAACGGCGGCCGUAACUAUAACGGUCCUAAGGUAGCGAAAUUCCUUGUCGGGUAAGUUCCGACCUGCACGAAAGGCGUAACGAUUUGGACGCUGUCUCAACCAUAGACCCGGUGAAAUUGCACUAGUCGUGAAGAUGCGACUUACCCGCGGAAGGACGGGAAGACCCCGUGAACCUUUACUGCAGCUUGACAUUGGCUGCCGGUUCGACGGUAGAGGAUACGGAAGACGUUUAUUAUGAAUUAUUACGGAAAAAUAGGGAAAAAGAUAUUUAUCGUCAGUCUACGUCUAUAGGUCCUCAUAGAGAUGAUUUCGUUGUGGAAAAUGAUUUGGGGGAAUUGAAAAAAUUCGGUUCUCAAGGACAACAACGGACUGCUGUUUUAGCAUUGAAAAUGGCGGAGUUGGAAUUUAUAAAAAAAGAGAACGGAGAAUAUCCGAUUUUAUUGCUUGAUGAUGUUAUGAGUGAAUUAGAUGAAGAACGAAGAAAUGCUUUGCUUUCUUUUGUGCAAGGAAAGGUUCAAACUUUUAUUACGACAACGGAUGAUUCUUUUUUUCGUAAGGAAAAGGAAUAUUCGUUUCUUUAUGUAGAAAAGGGAAAGGUUCGAUAUGACGAACAUGAGAAGAGGAACAACUGAAAAAGCCGGUGAUUUGAUACAAGAAGUGUUGGAACAUAAUAACUUAUUGAAACCCUAUCGCCAUUAUGAAUUGAAAAA